GUGGUGAUCAAUGAGCGAGCGGAGCUGUCCGCCGUGACUCAAAGUUACUUCGUGAUGGACCGACUUUCAGCACCGGGGACCUUCGUAUUCUUGGCUGCGUUCACGGAUCAGACGAUGUGCAUAAACACGGAGACGACUGAACGCCAUGUGCAGCGUUGACUAAAGCCCCCUCUAAGAAUACAAAAACUUCAAUAUAUCCUCCAUCAGCCCUAAGAGUGAAUCUUUCGGUGCUGCUGCUGCUGCUGCAGCGCCAGGACGUGUGGAUGAUUGGGUUCCAGCCUUUUGGUUUAUGCUUCCACAGCUGCUCAAUCUCGGGCAGUUGGCUGUAUUUCCUCGGGGUGAUAUAACUCUUCUACUCCAUUAAUAACGCAGCCACCAGCGGUCACAUCAAUCUGUGGGCUGCAGACACGAUCCCCCGGCCCCCGUGUAAGGCGCUACAGGGCCCCGGACGGACACGUGGCUCAGCGCGGCCAACGAGCUGAAUGGAAACAGCGCCUUGUAAAUCAGCCAGCGAAGGCGUGUGUGUUUCCUAUGAAGUCAAUAAAUGGGGGGGGGGUCGGUCAGGUAUUUAUGAAUAGGCCUGGCUAAUGGCUGCCACAAAGCAGUAAAAAAAGGGAGAAAAUUAUCAUUUUAUGUGUUUUAAUCUGCAAUUCUUAUUGGCUUUCCUGGCUGCAGUUUCAGAACAGAAAUUAAAGGAGAAGUUCACCCAAAA